AAUGAACGCUGGCGGCGCGCCUAAUACAUGCAAGUCGAGCGAGAAGACGUAGCAAUACGUUUGUAAAGCGGCGAACGGGUGAGGAAUACAUGGGUAACCUACCCUCGAGUGGGGAAUAACUAGCCGAAAGGUUAGCUAAUACCGCGUACGCUUCUUGGACUUCGGUUCAGGGAGGAAAGCGAUACCGUGGGUAUCGCGCUCUUGGAUGGGCUCAUGUCCUAUCAGCUUGUUGGGAGGUAACGGCUCACCAAGGCUUCGACGGGUAGCUGGUCUGAGAGGACGAUCAGCCACACUGGCACUGCGACACGGGCCAGACUCCUACGGGAGGCAGCAGUAAGGAAUAUUGCGCAAUGGGCGAAAGCCUGACGCAGCGACGCCGCGUGGGGGAUGAAGGUCUUCGGAUUG
rnacentral:rRNA from 1 species